CUACGGGGCGCUGCAGUGAGGAAUAUUGCACAAUGGGGGGAACCCUGAUGCAGCAACGCCGCGUGGAGGAUGACGCAUUUCGGUGUGUAAACUCCUUUUAUAUGUCAAGAAAAUGACGGUAGCAUAUGAAUAAGCAUCGGCUAACUCCGUGCCAGCAGCCGCGGUAAUACGGAGGGUGCAAGCGUUACUCGGAAUCACUGGGCGUAAGGGACGCGUAGGCGGGUUGGAAAGUCAGGUGUGAAAUCCUACAGCUUAACUGUAGAACUGCACUUGAAACUUCUAAUCUAGAGUAUGGGAGGGAGAGAUGGAAUUAGUGGUGUAGGGGUAAAAUCCGUAGAUAUCACUAGGAAUACCGAAAGCGAAGGCGAUCUCCUGGAACAUUACUGACGCUAAGGCGUGAAAGCGUGGGGAGCAAACAGGAUUAGAUACCCUUGUAGUC
rnacentral:rRNA from 1 species